AUCUCUCCAAUAACAUACUCUCUGGUGUGAUUCCCAAGUCACUGGAAGCACUAUCAUAUCUCAAGUACUUGAACUUGUCAUACAACAGGCUAGAAGGAGAAAUUCCUAGCAGAGGACCUUUUACAAACUUCACAGCUCAAUCUUUUAUGCACAAUCUUGGACUCUGCAGAGCCUCUCAGCUAGGCUUCAAUAAGAUUUCUGAAAUAUGUUUUACUAGCUACAGCUUCAGCAAUAUUGGUAUUAGCCUUCGUAUAUGUGCUGGCAAGGCGGUGGAGAAAAAAGGAGAACAGUCCUGCCUCUACUUGGUCUGAUUUGCUACAUAUAGCAACGUGUAGAAGAUUUUCAUACCAGGAACUCAUGCUGGCUACAAAUGGAUUCAACGAAAGUAACCUACUUGGUAAAGGGAGUUGGAGUUCUGUUUAUAGAGGGAUGCUUGUUGAUGGUAUGGCUGUUGCAGUAAAGGUAUUCAAUUUGCAGCUAGAAGGAGCACUAGAAAGUUUUGAGGCAGAAUGUGAAGUUCUUCGAAACAUUCGUCACAGAAAUCUUAUCAAAAUUAUCAGCAGCUGUGCCAAUGUUGAUUUCAAAGCAUUGGUGAUGGAGUUCAUGCCCAAUGGAAACCUUGAGGCAUUGUUGCACUCUAAUUCCUAUUGCUUGGAUAUGCUACAGAGGUUAAACAUCUUAGUAGAUGUUGCACUUGCUAUGGAAUAUCUCCACUACAAUUAUUCCACACCAGUGGUUCACUGUGACAUAAAGCCCAGCAAUGUCCUGUUGGAUGAAAAUAUGGUUGCCCAUUUAGGCGACUUUGGAAUUUCGAAGCUCUUGGGUGAAAGCAUAUCAAUGACACAAACCAAAACGCUAGCCACAAUUGGAUAUAUGGCACCAGAGUAUGGAUCACAGGGUAUAGUGUCCACAAGAGGAGAUGUUUACAGUUAUGGAAUCAUGUUGAUGGAAACAUUGACAGGGAAGAAGCCCACAGAUAAAAUGUUCGAAGGAGAAAUGUGCUUGAAAGAUUGGGUAUUAGACUCAAUGCAGAAUGGAGAAAUUAGUGUGAUCCUGGAUUCCAACUUGUUAAACACAAAUGAGAGUGAUUUUGCAGCUAAGGUGCAAUGUGUAUCAUCUGUCAUGAGUUUGGCUGUUGAAUGUUGUGAGGAAUCACCUGAAAUGAGGAUCAAUACACGAGAGGUUCUGCAGAGGCUGAGGAAAAUAAAGGACAAGUAUGAAAAGAACAUUCAAGCGACUUUCAAAUUACCAUAAAAUCUUCUCUUUUUCUUUACAAAUUCUUGAAGUGGAAUUGGUUGCCAGUGUCUCAAAAUUUUUUACUUCUAUCAUAAGCCAGGAACUUUGAUGGUUAAGCUACUAUAUAUAUAGUUUCAACUCUUAUGUUUACAUAAAACAAUUUAUUCCUCUAAAUUCUAGGGUGUACGAGAUAGUUUUAAGAAAAGUGGUGUCCUCUGUAAUGCUGUGCAUUAGGUUGGUUCAGUUUCAUAUAGAACCGAACCUCAAUAAUUGAAAUGAAAAUUUUUAUGAACCGAAUUGAAUUACAUGGAAAAAC
rnacentral:misc_RNA from 1 species